GAUGAAGAACGUAGCGAAAUGCGAUAAGUAAUGCGAAUUGCAGAAUUCAGUGAGUCAUCGAAUCUUUGAACGCACAUUGCGCCCGCCAGUAUUCUGGCGGGCAUGCCUGUUCGAGCGUCAUUUCAACCAUCAAGCCCCAGGCUUGUGUUGGGGACCUGCGGCUGCCGCAGGCCCUGAAAACCAGUGGCGGGCUCGCUGUCACACCGGGCGUAGUAGAUUUUAUCUCGCUCAGGGCGUGCUGCGGGUUCCGGCCGUUAAAAAGCCUUUUUUACCCAAGGUUGACCUCGGAUCAGGUAGGAAUACCCGCUGAACUUAAGCAUAUCAAUAAGCGGAGGA
rnacentral:misc_RNA from 1 species